UAUUGGUCAAUGGACGCAAGUCUGAACCAGCCAUGCCGCGUGCAGGAAGAAGGCUCUAUGGGUUGUAAACUGCUUUUGUACGGGAAGAAAUUAUCCCUCGUGAGGGAGCUUGACGGUACCGUAAGAAUAAGGAUCGGCUAACUCCGUGCCAGCAGCCGCGGUAAUACGGAGGAUCCAAGCGUUAUCCGGAAUCAUUGGGUUUAAAGGGUUCGUAGGCGGUUUUGUAAGUCAGUGGUGAAAGUUUGCAGCUUAACUGUAAAAUUGCCAUUGAUACUGCAAGACUUGAAUGUUUGUGAAGUGGCUAGAAUAUGUAGUGUAGCGGUGAAAUGCUUAGAUAUUACAUGGAAUACCAAUUGCGAAGGCAGGUCACUAACAAAUGAUUGACGCUGAUGGACGAAAGCGUGGGGAGCGAACAGG
rnacentral:rRNA from 1 species